rnacentral:rRNA from 1 species
UACGUAGGGGGCAAGCGUUGUCCGGAAUCAUUGGGCGUAAAGAGCUCGUAGGCGGCUCGUUGCGUCGGCUGUGAAAACCCGCAGCUCAACUGUGGGCCUGCAGCCGAUACGGGCGGGCUGGAGUUCGGUAGGGGAGACUGGAAUUCCUGGUGUAGCGGUGAAAUGCGCAGAUAUCAGGAGGAACACCGGUGGCGAAGGCGGGUCUCUGGGCCGAUACUGACGCUGAGGAGCGAAAGCGUGGGGAGCGAACAGG